GAUAAACGCUGGCGGCGUGCCUAACACAUGCAAGUCGAACGCCUUACGCAAGUAAGGAGUGGCGGACGGGUGAGGAACACGUGGGGAUCUACCCAAAGGUGAGGAAUACCGGCGAGAAAUCGCCGACAAAACCGCAUAGCCUUCUUUGGAAGGAAAGUCGCAAGACGCCUGUGGAUGAACCUGCGUCCGAUUAGUUAGCUGGUGGGGUAAAGGCCUACCAGGACGACGAUCGGUAGCUGGUCUGAGAGGACGAUCAGCCACACUGGGAUUGAGAACG
rnacentral:rRNA from 1 species